rnacentral:rRNA from 1 species
CAGCAGCCGCGGGAACACGUAGGGUGCAAGCGUUAAUCGGAAUUACUGGGCGCAAAGCGUGCGCAGGCGGUUUGUUAAGACAGAUGUGAAAUCCCCGGGCUCGACCUGGGAACUGCAUUUGUGACUGGCAAGCUAGAGUGUGGCAGAGGGGGGUGGAAUUCCGCGUGUAGCAGUGAAAUGCGUAGAUAUGCGGAGGAACACCGAUGGCGAAGGCAGCCCCCUGGGCCAACACUGACGCUCAUGCACGAAAGCGUGGGGAGCAAACAGGAUUAGAUACCCCAGUAGUCCCUGUCUCUUAUAC